rnacentral:rRNA from 1 species
UUCCGGUUGAUCCUGCCGGACCUGACUGCUAUCGGAUUGAUACUAAGCCAUGCGAGUCUUUGUAGUAAUACAAGGCAGACGGCUCAGUAACACGUAGUCAACCUACCCUAUGGACGAGAAUAAUCUCGGGAAACUGAGCAUAAUUCUUGAUAGAUCAUAAUGCCUGGAAUGGUUUAUGGUUAAAAUGAUUCGUCGCCAUAGGAUGGGACUGCGGCCUAUCAGCUUGUUGGUGAGGUAAUGGCCCACCAAGGCGAUUACAGGUACGGGCUCUGAGAGGAGAAGCCCGGAGAUGGGUACUGAGACACGGACCCAGGCCCUAUGGGGCGCAGCAGGCGAGAAAACUUUGCAAUGUGCGAAAGCACGACAAGGUUAAUCCGAGUGAUUUCUGCUAAAGAAAUCUUUUGCCAGUCGUAAAACCGCUGGUGAAUAAGGGGUGGGCAAGUUCUGGUGUCAGCCGCCGCGGUAAAACCAGCACCUCAAGUGGUCAGGAGGAUUAUUGGGCCUAAAGCAUCCGUAGCCUGUUCUAUAAGUUUGCGGUUAAAUCUAUACGCUCAACGUAUAGGCUGCUGUAAAUACUGUAGAACUAGGGAGUGGGAGAGGUAGACGGUACUCGGUAGGAAGGGGUAAAAUCCUUUGAUCUAUCGAUGACCACCUGUGGCGAAGGCGGUCUACCAGAACACGUUCGACGGUGAGGGAUGAAAGCUGGGGGAGCAAACCGGAUUAGAUACCCGGGUAGUCCCAGCUGUAAACGAUGCAGACUCGAUGAUGCAAUGGCAUAGAGCUAUUGCAGUAUCGCAGGGAAGCCGUUAAGUCUGCCGCCUGGGAAGUACGUACGCAAGUAUGAAACUUAAAGGAAUUGGCGGGGGAGCACCACAAGGGGUGAAGCCUGCGGUUCAAUUGGAUUCAACGCCGGG